rnacentral:rRNA from 1 species
AUGGCAUCUCAAAGGUCCGAGUCAGAUGGAGCACCGCAUAGUGCACGCUCUAUUAUGCUCUCGAGCUCCAGUUCGCGAUCUAGCUCCAGUAGAGACAGUGACAUGGCUAGCAAAUUGCAAAAUGCAACAUGCCUUUCGAUCCGAGUACUACAAGAAAUCACGGAUAAUUUCUCUAAUGAGCGGAAAAUUGGGCAAGGCGCGUAUGGAGAGGUCUACGUGGCAGAGGCUGAAAAUGGAGAGAAUGUCGCUGUGAAGAUGCUUUAUAAUAACAUGCCAGGGAUUGACGAUGAACAAUUCCAACGUGAGUUUGAAAACCUUAUGACGCUUGAGCAUCAAAACAUUGUAAGGUUAGUUGGCUAUUGCUACGAAACACAACAUCAACCUAUGCACUACAUGGGAAGAACAAUUUUUGCAGAAAGGACAUACAGAGCACUUUGCUUCGAGUAUAUGGAAAAUGGAAGCCUUGAAAAACACCUUUCUGACGAAUGUGAUGGACUUGACUGGCACACACGUUACAAAAUUAUCAAGGGGACAUGCGAGGGUUUAAAGCACCUGCAUGAAGGAUUAGAUGAACCAAUUUACCAUUUAGACCUGAAACCCGACAAUAUAUUGUUAGACAAGAACAUGGUGCCAAAGCUUGCAGACUUUGGUUUAUCGAAGCUCUUCGGUGAUAAACAAACCAGGAUCUCACAUAGUCCUAUAGGAACAAUUGGAUACUUGCCGAUGGAAUACUUACAUGGAAACAUCGUCUCAAACAAGUUGGACAUAUUCAGCUUGGGUGUUGUGAUGAUAAAAAUAAUUGCAGGCCGUAGAGGCUACUCCAAAAGUGCUGAAAUGGAUCACCAAGAGUUUCUUGAUCAAGUGCAUGAAAACUGGAGGGACAGGAUGCUGAAAACAUGUCAAGCUUCCCGCCAACUAGAAGCACAUUACGAACAAGUUAAUGUAUGCACAAAGAUUGCCCUGAGUUGCAUGGAAAUUGAUAGACACAAAAGGCCAAAUAUAACCGAUAUCAUCCAUCAAAUGAAUGACAUCGAAGCUGUGAUUGACAAGGCAUUGUCAUGGACUGGCCGGAAGUACACAUCAAUGAUGAAUGGAGACUUGGUCAAGUUAGAAGUGUUGACAAGAAGCGACGCGGUUCCGUGUGGCGAGAGGUGCAACGAGUAUCCCAUCCUGGUUCGGGUCACUGCGCCACCAUGGCGUCACACAGAGGAGAUGCCGCACGCCGGCGUGGACCUCGUCCUAGUGCUCGACUUGGUCGAUGGUUGGGACCGGUAUCUCAUGAAGAAGGCUAUGAUUGUGGCCAUCGACGAGCUCGGCCCGAACGACCGGCUCUGUAUUAUCACGUCGGGCUGUGGGCACUGCACUAUGAAGCUUACAUUCAUGUCCGACAAUGGACGGGACGUUGCCAGGCUCAUGCUCGACGAGCUGCCCUCUGGAUGUUUUAAUAUGGUCGACUCUCUACGAGAGGCCUCUAAGAUUCUGAAGGAGCGUGAAGUUGAGGAGGGUAACGGCCGCGUAGGCUUCAUCAUGGUCCUGUUGCGUUCGGGCAGCAAUGAACCGGCGAUACUCACGCAGAAAAUCAGCCCCCAUUUCCCGGUGCACACACUCGGUUUGGGCUACGGCGGCCCUUACAGUCACAACGCAGAGGUCGGCAAGUACCUUGCGGACGAGACCUCUGGAACCUACUCAUUCAUCCAACAACUGGACAUAUCCGAGAUAAAGGAGGCCUUGGAGCUUUUCAUCGGCGGCAUCACCAAGGUCGCCGCGACAUCCAUCAGGGUCACCCUCACAGCUGGCGAGGGCGUCGCCAUAUCAUCCAUUGAGUCCGGCGGCUACAAUAGCCGUGUGAAUUCCGAGGAACAGUCCGGCGAGAUAGACAUCAACGACAUCUACGCCGGUGAGACAAAGAACUUCAUAGUCAAGCUGAAACUCCCCGAGGGCAAGGGCAAGCUUGUGAUCAUCGGCGGCCAGUACUGGAACCUCAAUGCCAGCAAGCAGCUGCUGGCUGAUACGGACGUGUUCAUCUCAAGACCGCGAUCAGAAUGCUCGCCUGGAAAGCUGGCCAUGCACCGUGAGGUAGCGGCGGAGCUCGUGCGGGUCCAGUUUGCGAAGUGCAUAUCGGCCAUGCUUGAGGUGGACAAUCGCUCGAUCAGGUACGACAUGGAACUGCUAUGGGAGAAGAUAAGGUUGUCCGAGGAGGGUCAAUGCGCGCCCGAGGAAACUUUGGCGGGUCUCGUCAAGGCCAUGGCUGAAAUACAGAAAGAAAACGUGCAACACAUUGGAAAAAAGCUGCCUUACGUACUGGCAUGGCUGAGUUGUCACGAGUGGCAACGGGCAACCACCAAGGGGGAUUGCUCCGACUCUGGUGCUUUCAUGGUUGGGCCUACAAAAAUGAAAUAA